AUGUCGCUGCAAGUGUCGAGGAGCUUGCGGGUUGUGGCCUACAGCCUGCGCACUGCCCAGGCCUUCUGCUCGCCGGGGCCCUGGGCGCCGAGCGCCAACGUCGUCUGCUCACUGUGCACCGGAUCUGCUUUGCUGUAAAUUCACAGAGAAACAUGAAUGGAUAACAACAGAGGAAGGGAUUGGAACGGUGGGAAUCAGCGAUUUUGCACAGGAAGCGUUGGGAGAUGUUGUUUAUGGUAGUCUGCCUGAAGUUGGGACAAAACUUAAAAAACAAGAGGAGUUUGGCACUUUGGAGAGUGUGAAGGUGGCCAGUGAACUCUCCUCUCCUCUGUCAGGAGAGGUAACUGAAGUCAGUGAAGCACUUGCCGAAAACCCAGGGCUCAUCAACAAAUCCUGUUAUGAAGAUGGUUGGCUGAUCAAGAUGUCACUGAGUGACCCUUCAGAGCUGAAUGAAUUGAUGAGUGAAGAAGCAUAUGAGAAAUAUGUGAAGUCCAUCGAGGAGUGACCAUGGCACCCCUCCACUCCAGAUCAAACUGGA